rnacentral:rRNA from 1 species
CCGCCGGCGACCGGCGCACGGGUGAGUAACACGUAUGCAACCUGGCCGUGACAGAUGGAUAACCGGGAGAAAUCCCGCCUAAUACAACAUAAUGCCGGGAGGGGACAUCCCCUGCCGGCCAAAGGGGGCGACCCCGGUCACGGAUGGGCAUGCGGCGCAUUAGGUAGUUGGUGGGGCAACGGCCCACCAAGCCGACGAUGCGUAGGGGUUCUGAGAGGAAGGUCCCCCGCAUUGGAACUGAGACACGGUCCAAACUCCUACGGAAGGCAGCAG